rnacentral:rRNA from 1 species
AGAUUCGGCAGNCGNGGUAAUACGAGCNNUCCAAGUCGCAGCCGGCUUUAUGGGUCUAAAACAUUGGUANNUUGUCUUUAAAGUUUGUUGUGAAAUCUCAUGUNUUAANCAUGAGGCUUGCAAGAAAUACUGGAAGGNNAGGGACCGGUAGAUGUAAGGAGUACGCUCAAGGUAGUGGUAAAAUACGUUAAUCUUGAGUGGACUAACAAUUGGCGAAGACACCUUACAAGAACGGAUCUGACAGUGAGGGAUGAAGGCCAGGGGCGCAAAACGGAUUAGAUACCCGUGUAGUCCUGGCAGUAAACACUGCUCACUAAACAUCGGGGCCUCUUCGGGAGGUUUCGGUGCUGAAGCGAAGGCGAAGAGUGAGCUACCUGGGAAGUAUAGCUGCAAGGUCGAAACUUAAAGGAAUUGGCGGGGAGGCACUACAACGAGUGACGCGUGCGGUUCAAUUAGAUUCUACACCGUGAACCUCACUAGGAGCGACAGCAGGAUGAAGGUCAGUCUGAAGGGCUUACCUGACACGCUGAGAGGGGCUGCAUGGCCGACGUCAGCCUGUGCUGUGAAGUGACCUGUUAAAUCAGGUAACAGGCGAGACCCGCAUGCAUAAUUACUAUCGAAGGAUGUACAUUAUGCAGACUGCCUUGGUAACAAGGAGGAAGGUGCGGGCUACGUUAGGUGAGUACAGCCCAAAUCCCCUAGGCUACACGCGCGCGGCAAUGGUAGGUUCAGUGAGAUGCGACUCUGAAAAGAGAAGCUAAUCCCCAACACCUAUCUCAGUCCAGAUUGAGGGCUGCAACCCGCCCUCAUGACGAUGGAAUUCGUAGUAAUCGGAUGUUAUCAGCAUCCGGUGAAUAUGUCCCUGCUCCUUGCACAC